UGGCGGCGUGCCUAAUACAUGCAAGUCGAGCGGACUUAAAAAGCUUGCUUUUUAAGUUAGCGGCGGACGGGUGAGUAACACGUGGGCAACCUGCCUGUAAGACUGGGAUAACUUCGGGAAACCGGAGCUAAUACCGGAUAAUCCUUUUCUACUCAUGUAGAAAAGCUGAAAGACGGUUUACGCUGUCACUUACAGAUGGGCCCGCGGCGCAUUAGCUAGUUGGUGAGGUAACGGCUCACCAAGGCGACGAUGCGUAGCCGACCUGAGAGGGUGAUCGGCCACACUGGGACUGAGACACGGCCCAGACUCCUACGGGAGGCAGCAGUAGGGAAUCUUCCGCAAUGGACGAAAGUCUGACGGAGCAACGCCGCGUGAGUGAUGAAGGUUUUCGGAUCGUAAAACUCUGUUGUUAGGGAAGAACAAGUACGAGAGUAACUGCUCGUACCUUGACGGUACCUAACCAGAAAGCCACGGCUAACUACGUGCCAGCAGCCGCGGUAAUACGUAGGUGGCAAGCGUUGUCCGGAAUUAUUGGGCGUAAAGCGCGCGCAGGCGGUCCUUUAAGUCUGAUGUGAAAGCCCACGGCUCAACCGUGGAGGGUCAUUGGAAACUGGGGGACUUGAGUGCAGAAGAGAAGAGUGGAAUUCCACGUGUAGCGGUGAAAUGCGUAGAGAUGUGGAGGAACACCAGUGGCGAAGGCGACUCUUUGGUCUGUAACUGACGCUGAGGCGCGAAAGCGUGGGGAGCAAACAGGAUUAGAUACCCUGGUAGUCCACGCCGUAAACGAUGAGUGCUAAGUGUUAGAGGGUUUCCGCCCUUUAGUGCUGCAGCAAACGCAUUAAGCACUCCGCCUGGGGAGUACGGCCGCAAGGCUGAAACUCAAAGGAAUUGACGGGGGCCCGCACAAGCGGUGGAGCAUGUGGUUUAAUUCAAGCAACGCGAAGAACCUUACCAGGUCUUGACAUCUCCUGACAAUCCUAGAGAUAGGACGUUCCCCUUCGGGG
rnacentral:rRNA from 1 species